UGAUGUGAAGGCAAUCUAGCUAUGGUAUCUGUCACCCCACUGCUCUCCAUGGUUUAUUCAGCUGAUCUGUCUGGCUAGGUGGUGUCCCUUCUUCCCUCACCAUUCCAUGUGAAUCUCUCAAGAAGCUACACACUCUGUUGAAGGCGACAACCAUCCUGGACAGAGGAGGCCUGUUCUUCUGUCAAGUGUCUAUGAGUAGCUGCACUCCCCUGCUAGAACUUCCAAGCAAGCUCUCAAUACUGGCAAUUCCUAAAUUACAUCCUGUUACAUCCUGUUAGUUCCAGA
rnacentral:sRNA from 1 species